UGAAACAAUGGAUUCGGUUAACGAAAUUUUCGGUUAACAAACGACUCUGUGGAACGAAUCGUGUUCGUUAACCGAGGGACCACUAUACAUACAAAAUGCAAGAAAAUGUGAGUGCAUGUAACUUCUAUAUUAUGAUGUGCAUGCUGUGUCAUAACCCACGAGCUUGUACUCAGUCACCUUCACCCGGUUAAGUCCACAUGUUUUUAUUCCUUUUUGCUCAUGUUUUACUCAGCUGUUCUUGAAUGUGUAACUAGGAUUUUUUUUUUAUAUUUGACAUGUUCAUACAUCAAGAAAAAGAAGUCUUCUCUUUCAGCUUUUGUAAUUAAGCUUGAGGGUCACGAUGCCAAUGGAGAAAAAAAUUACUGACCCACUACUCGAACCUGUUUAUAAUUCGUAAAGGGAAAUUAGGAUUGUCCUUUUCCCCAUCUCUCGUUGAUGCCGCCAUACAGUAUCAGUCUACACCUGACACACCUGUAGCCCCCUGCAGGACCAGUGGUGAUGCUGCCUACAUAGUGCGUCUAUGGACACCAAGUAUGGUAGAUGACCAGCCACAGUAACCAAGAUGACAACAUUACUGGCAAGAAGCCACUUUAUGAGCUACCAGAGAUUAUAUUUAAGCUAAUGGUAGUCACUUUACCCUGAGGAAUUUGGCUGGAUCAGUUUUGUUUUUGUUUUUAGUUUUUUUAGAAUAUCAGAUAUAAAUCUUUUAUACAAGCAGUUAUUAAAUUUUAAGUGUUACAUUUCUGUAAUUACUUCUCCUACACAAUAAAUGUUCUUAGUAUCAGUCAUACAAAAUGUUCUUUCUCUUUUAACUUUACUCAUAACAUGAAUCAUUCUCUGAUAAUGGAUGGGUUCAUAUAAAGUUUAGGGUUAGGGUGGUAAUAAAAGCGUGUUUUUGUGGCCAAGAUAGUCCACAUCAUAUUUCAGUGCUCAUUUAUAUCCACAAAUAAUUGGAUGCUUGUAACCAUACGGGAGUCUUCAGGUUGUUGGUUACUGAACUAUCAUGUGAAUUAUUUCUAAUUUCAAAAAAAUCUUGAGAGCCAGAUAAAGACAAGGCACAGGAUUCUUGGGUGUAUUUUACACUAUUGCUGUGUCCUUAAAGUACUAGUAACCUGUAUAUAAUUUCAGUAUUCUACUCAUUAUGGCCAAUUUUGAACCAAAAAGUUUGACCAAUAUUACAGAGUGUUCUCCAAGCAUAAUUUCCCAUUACAUCUUGUACUGUUGGCUGAUAUGCACCAAGUGUAUGGUAUGUAAGGGUUAUAUAUUUUUAGUGAGAAUCCUAUGUUCAGAUACUGUACAGUAUGUGAACUCUGGGUUCUUUUUACCCAGCCAUUCGAAACUUCGGCAAUACAGUAUUCCAAUCCCAAUUAAAUAUACGGUACUGUAUUUAAUGGAACAGGUAUGCUAAAUCUUAGAAAAAGGAAUUAUCAGAGGCUAGAAUGAAGAAAAUUCUAGGGAUAUCUUCUUCUCCAAUUCAUGGUGUUAGACAUAGUGAAUUAAGGUUUAUUACCGCUUGAAAGCUUUGCAACAGUUUACUUUGAUAAGUUGUUUCAUCCAACACUUCUAUCUUCAUAUACUUUUCCACUUUCUUACACAGUUCUCAAAAUUGUAUAUUUUAUUUUUACAAUGCAUGCUACUGUCCGUGUUGAGGACAGUGACUACUUAUGAGUUUGAGUAUUUAGGCUUUAUUUAUACUGUUUUGUUUUUGGAAUGAAUAUUAUAAUAUUCAUAUACUGUAGCCAGUUUAGGAGAAGGUUUGAGAUGUAUUACAGUACAGUAUGUUACUUGAGCAUUACAGCCUACAUUCCCAGAUUGUGUCCAUUAUCAUUACUGCAUUGUUAUUGCUCUUUUAUUUUAAAGUUGUGGUCUGAGAAAAUACUUGUUACUGUUCAUCCUCAGCAGAUCAUUAAUGGUUUUAUCUGUAUGAUUGAUAUAAUCUAGUUGAUUAUACCUCUAUGAGAAUUUCAACUUAAUUAUAAUUUUUUUUACUUUUUGGGGGGAUAAUUCACAUGCCCUUGACAUAAUUAAGCAUUUGUACAUUAUGUAACUACAAGUAAGAUAAAAUAAUUUAAGUGAAAAUUUUCUCUCAUGAUUGGAAGAGAAUUUCGUGACCAAAUGUACUGAUAUGAAUUAAUGUAAAUGGAAUAUGACUGUACAGUAUUGUGAUGCAGUUAGGGUUGGCACAGACCUUCACGCAACUGUAAAUAUCUCCCAUCACACUCAUAGUGAGAUAUGUUGUCAUGUUGUUUUUGCUGUUGGUUAUUGUAUUUGUAAAUAAUGGAAUUUUUUGUAUCAAGACAUAAAUGUACAUAAGUAUUUGUUUGUAAUUUUGUUUGUGAUUAACUUGUAAGAACCAUGCAUUGAAGUGUUAGUAGUUGUUCAUGACAGACAAUACUCAUUCUGUAUAUUAUAGGUAAAUGAAACAAAGGAACUAUAUGUUACCGUAAUUUUUGGCUCAUAAGUAAACUUAAAGUGAGUAAAUUCCCACUUUUUUUGGAUUUAAAUGUUAAUGUGCCCUGUAAGUCACAUUCAUACUGUCUCUAACUUGCUUCACAUUCUUUGUUAGUUUCUGAAAAUUUGAAGUUCACAUGUGAACUGAGAUUCUGUUACCUCAAUUACAGAUUUUAUAGGAUAGUGGGUCAUUUUAGGAUCUUUCAGCUAAGUCCACCGCCAGUAGGCCCCCAACAGAGGCAAUUAGAGCCUCAGUUGAUUCAUCAACCAAGCUGAAUGGUGUUAGCUAUAGUGAGAAUAACGUCGUUAGCAUAUUUUGUAUGACAAUUUUGGGUAACAAAACCCCGAAAGAGAAAGAUAUACAGUAUCUAAAAUCCUUAAUCCUUAAUUCAUGCUGAGGUUUGUGAAUGUUUAUAGCACCUCACUUUUGGACGACCCUCUUGUUUUAUGAACCACCACCUAAUUAUAGUAAAAGAGGUUGGAAAAAAUCACUUAAAUAAACUUGAUAAAGAAAUUAUUUCCUUUUCCUGUUCUGACUCAAUAAUCCACAUCUUUUUAUUUUUUUGGGGUUCUGUGUAUUACUGUGGAUCCUGUCUCCUGUGAAUGAUGAUCAUGGAUGACAUUAUGCAUUAAACAUCAAA